GGAGUGGCAAGCCCUAGGAGAGGCUCUGAUGGUACAUGUUUGUCAUCGAGGUUUCAGAAAGCAACUUUAGAAAGCAAAGCAGCAGUCAGCUGGCAGCCAGGACAGCAGGGAAGGAAGGGAGCGGCCAUUGGGCUCAGCCCAAGGACUCUUCUUUAAUGGCUCCCUUUCUGGGUUUUCAUUGUGCUAACCCAGAUAGGGACCAUCUUCUCAGCACAGUGGGCUUCUCUUGCCACGUGUUUCUCUCAGACAAGAGGAAUUCUCCAAGAGGCUCCUCCAUAGCGGGAAGCCCUGGCUGCAGCCAGCCUUCCAGGAACAGAGGCCAGAUAUGCCUGAGCUACACCCGGAUCUGGACCUGGCACACAAGUCACAGCAAGGACCAAAGGAAGAAGGCACUGGAAUCCAGGUUUGUUCCAGUCUAUGGCUGUAGGACCGUGAUGAUGAUGUUGCCUGACUUAUCUUCAAAAAGGCAACACUGAACCUACACACCCUCACAUAGAACUCAGAAGGAACAGCUGUCUGACCAGUGCCAGUGUCUCUUAGAGGACCGUGAGAGGCCAGUGAAGGCCUGAGCAGAUGGGAGUCGAGAUGGCCGACCGGCAAGUGUCUGCUAGAGUCCUGCCACCUGGCACUCUUCC
ensembl:lncRNA